GAGAGAGAGCUUGCUUUCUCGAGCGAGUGGCGAACGGGUGAGUAACGCGUGAGGAACCUGCCUCAAAGAGGGGGACAACAGUUGGAAACGACUGCUAAUACCGCAUAAGCCCACGACCCGGCAUCGGGUUGAGGGAAAAGGAGCAAUCCGCUUUGAGAUGGCCUCGCGUCCGAUUAGCUAGUUGGUGAGGUAACGGCCCACCAAGGCGACGAUCGGUAGCCGGACUGAGAGGUUGAACGGCCACAUUGGGACUGAGACACGGCCCAGACUCCUACGGGAGGCAGCAGUGGGGAAUAUUGCACAAUGGGGGAAACCCUGAUGCAGCGACGCCGCGUGGAGGAAGAAGGUCUUCGGAUUGUAAACUCCUGUUGUUGAGGAAGAUAAUGACGGUACUCAACAAGGAAGUGACGGCUAACUACGUGCCAGCAGCCGCGGUAAAACGUAGGUCACAAGCGUUGUCCGGAAUUACUGGGUGUAAAGGGAGCGCAGGCGGGAAGGCAAGUUGGAAGUGAAAUCCAUGGGCUCAACCCAUGAACUGCUUUCAAAACUGUUUUUCUUGAGUAGUGCAGAGGUAGGCGGAAUUCNCCGGUGUAGCGGUGGAAUGCGUAGAUAUCGGGAGGAACACCAGUGGCGAAGGCGGCCUACUGGGCACCA
rnacentral:rRNA from 1 species